rnacentral:tRNA from 1 species
GGGGACUUAGCUCAGUGGUAGAGCGCUUGCCUAGCAAGCGCAAGGCCCUGGGUUCGAUCCUCAGCUCCG